rnacentral:rRNA from 1 species
CCUACGGGAGGCAGCAGUAGGGAAUAUUGCACAAUGGGCGAAAGCCUGAUGCAGCAACGCCGCGUGCGCGAUGAAGGCCUUCGGGUUGUAAAGCGCUUUUCUGGGGGACGAGAAAGGACGGUACCCCAGGAAUAAGUCUCGGCUAACUACGUGCCAGCAGCCGCGGU